GCCCAUGUUGCUAAGUGGUUAGAGUAUCUGCCUGCAGAUGAAAGGAUCAUGGGUUUGAUUCCUGGUCAAGGGCA
rnacentral:tRNA from 1 species